rnacentral:tRNA from 1 species
GCGGGUAUAGUUUAGUGGUAAAACCCUAGCCUUCCAAGCUAACGUUGCGGGUUCGAUUCCCGCUACCCGCU